GCCCGGGUGGUGGAAUAGGUAGACACGCAGGACUUAAAAUCCUGUGAGCAGCAAUGCUCUUACGAGUUCGAUUCUCGUCCCGGGUA
rnacentral:tRNA from 1 species